rnacentral:rRNA from 1 species
UCUUACACAUGCAAGUCGAACGGUCUUUUCGGAGAUAGUGGCGGACGGGUGAGUAACGCGUAAGAAUCUACCUUCAGGUUGGGGACAACCACUGGAAACGGUGGCUAAUACCGAAUGUGCCGAGAGGUGAAAGGCUUGCUGCCUGAAGAAGAGCUUGCGUCUGAUUAGCUAGUUGGUGGGGUAAGAGCCUACCAAGGCGACGAUCAGUAGCUGGUCUGAGAGGAUGAUCAGCCACACUGGGACUGAGACACGGCCCAGACUCCUACGGGAGGCAGCAGUGGGGAAUUUUCCGCAAUGGGCGAAAGCCUGACGGAGCAAUACCGCGUGAGGGAGGAAGGCUCUUGGGUUGUAAACCUCUUUUCUCAGGGAAGAAGAAAGUGACGGUACCUGAGGAAUAAGCAUCGGCUAACUCCGUGCCAGCAGCCGCGGUAAUACGGAGGAUGCAAGCGUUAUCCGGAAUGAUUGGGCGUAAAGGGUCCGCAGGUGGCAUUGUAAGUCUGCUGUUAAAGAGUCACGCUCAACGUGAUAAAAGCAGUGGAAACUACAAAGCUAGAGUAUGGUCGGGGCAGAGGGAAUUCCUGGUGUAGCGGUGAAAUGCGUAGAUAUCAGGAAGAACAUCGGUGGCGAAGGCGCUCUGCUAGGCCAAAACUGACACUGAGGGACGAAAGCUAGGGGAGCGAAUGGGAUUAGAUACCCCAGUAGUCCUAGCCGUAACGAUGGAUACUAGGCGUAGCUCGUAUCGACCCGAGCUGUGCCGUAGCUAACGCGUUAAGUAUCCCGCCUGG